rnacentral:misc_RNA from 1 species
GAAAUGCGAUAAGUAAUGUGAAUUGCAGAAUUCAGUGAAUCAUCGAAUCUUUGAACGCACCUUGCGCUCCUUGGUAUUCCGGGGGGCAUGCCUGUCCGAGCGUCAUUACGCACCCUCAAGCCCGGCUUGUGUGAUGGGCCCCGGCGUCUCGUUCGCGAGACGGGCCCGAAAGGCAGCGGCGGCGUCGACCCGAUGAGCCCGAGCGUAUGGGGACUUCUGUCACACGUUCGCGGUGCGGACCGGCGCCUGCUUGACUUUUCUGAUUAUCCAGGUUGACCUCGGAUCAGGUAGGGAUACCCGCUGAACUUAAGC